CCAAGGCAGCCGGACUCCAGAAAGCACGCCAAAUCCAGCUUCUGCUGUCACCUCGUUGUAUAGCCUCCCCACAAGUAUAUACAGGUCAGAUACCUGGCUCCUGUGCGGUUGAGAAAUUGGAUGCCAGUAGAGCACCAAGAUUCUUAUAAGUGAGGACCUCACCUCCUCACCAGACAUUAUUGACCUUUUGGCUUCUUAGCCCCUACCGUUUCUGGUAGAUCCCCAUUUUAGAAUCCUGAGGGCUGAAGAAGAUGACAGGCAUGCUCUCUAGGAACUGUCUCCUCUAAGUGUGGUCUUUGGACUAGCUGCAGCAUCACCUGGGAGCUGUUAGAUGUGCAGAAUCUGGGGCCUUACUCAGGCCCGCUGAAUCAGAAUCUGCAAGUGAAUCAUAUGCACGUUCAAGUUGCAGAAGCAGUGGUUUCAGAACACUGCACCCUCAAGGCGUGGAGGCAGCUGCUCUACCAAACAGACCUGGCUGUCCUUUGAGUGUGCCUUGGACGGAAUAAUAAGAGCUGCUUUCUUGGACAGGACGGGUGCCAUUGGAAGAGGAGUUCCGGCUGGACCACGAGGGGAAUGUGGAACAAA